GGUGCUGUAGCUCAAUAGCAGAGCCUCUGCCUAGCACGCAUGAGUCCCUGGAUUCAAUCUCUAGCACCACAA
rnacentral:tRNA from 1 species